rnacentral:rRNA from 1 species
UAGGGAAUCUUCGGCAAUGGACGAAAGUCUGACCGAGCAACGCCGCGUGAGUGAAGAAGGUUUUCGGAUCGUAAAACUCUGUUGGUAGAGAAGAACGUUGGUGAGAGUGGAAAGCUCAUCAAGUGACGGUAACUACCCAGAAAGGGACGGCUAACUACGUGCCAGCAGCCGCGGUAAUACGUAGGUCCCGAGCGUUGUCCGGAUUUAUUGGGCGUAAAGCGAGCGCAGGUGGUUUAUUAAGUCUGGUGUAAAAGGCAGUGGCUCAACCAUUGUAUGCAUUGGAAACUGGUAGACUUGAGUGCAGGAGAGGAGAGUGGAAUUCCAUGUGUAGCGGUGAAAUGCGUAGAUAUAUGGAGGAACACCGGUGGCGAAAGCGGCUCUCUGGCCUGUAACUGACACUGAGGCUCGAAAGCGUGGGGAGCAAACAGGAUUAGAUACCCUGGUAGUCCACGCCGUAAACGAUGAGUGCUAGAUGUAGGGAGCUAUAAGUUCUCUGUAUCGCAGCUAACGCAAUAAGCACUCCGCCUGGGGAGUACGACCG